AUGAACGCUGGCGGCGUGCCUAAUACAUGCAAGUCGAGCGAACGGACGAGAAGCUUGCUUCUCUGAUGUUAGCGGCGGACGGGUGAGUAACACGUGGAUAACCUACCUAUAAGACUGGGAUAACUUCGGGAAACCGUAGCUAAUACCGGAUAAUAUUUUGAACCGCAUGGUUCAAAAGUGAAAGACGGUCUUGCUGUCACUUAUAGAUGGAUCCGCGCUGCAUUAGCUAGUUGGUAAGGUAACGGCUUACCAAGGCAACGAUGCAUAGCCGACCUGAGAGGGUGAUCGGCCACACUGGAACUGAGACACGGUCCAGACUCCUACGGGAGGCAGCAGUAGGGAAUCUUCCGCAAUGGGCGAAAGCCUGACGGAGCAACGCCGCGUGAGUGAUGAAGGUCUUCGGAUCGUAAAACUCUGUUAUUAGGGAGAACAUAUGUGUAAGUAACUGUGCACAUCUUGACGGUACCUAAUCAGAAAGCCACGGCUAACUACGU
rnacentral:rRNA from 1 species